AGCCCGUGGGGUGAUGGCGUCAGGCCAGCUCUCCACGCAUACUGGGGCUCUGUCCCAUAAUCCGGGUCUUGUGAGUGCCUUGGGAAGCCGGGCUGUUUCAUUCUGGCCUUGGACAGUUGCCAGUGGACCUUACAGCUUGUAGAGCUCCCAGGAUGGUCGUGUGGGAGGCGUUCUGGUUGUCUGGGGGCGACACCACCCUGCCUGGUGGAGUGGUGGCAAGGAGGAGGGACACUCCCCGGGCGCACUGAGUCCUGCUGCAGGCAGACACAGGCGCAGGUUGGAGCUCCACUGUGCAGGGCUGGGCUGCUUGGCAGUCUCACACAGCUCUGUUCCUUGUCUGGGUUAAACAGAGGCGCCCUGCCUGGCAGACACCAAGAGGACGGGGCCGCAGCGGGGGGCGAGGGUGCUCCUUGCCCGGCUGCGGGAGCAGUCGGCCCUUCCCUGGCGUGACCGCUGCCGUCAGUCAGAUACAUCGACAGUUGGCAUGAUGUUUGGUAAUUGACUGACACAACUCCACGUGGGUUUCUGACACCAUCGUCCUGCCCGAGAGCCUGAGGGGGAGACAGAGAUGCUCCUGUGACCAGAAGGGGCGUGGACAGUGCCAAGUAUCCUCACCCAAGCGCAGCAGCGGACUAAGUAUGUGUGAAGCCAGGGGAGCACUUUGAAGGCGCUUGAUAGCAAAGUGUCUUUUUGUAUAAUUGUUUUUUGGGAAAAAACCUCAGUAAACAUUCACUGUAAAUUUUUGAUACUGGGGAGUGAAACUCCCAACCUACUGUGUCUGGUAUGAGUUCGUGUUCUCCAAAAUCGAAGAAUGAAUUUUAGGAACAAUGGAGGUUAAGAGUGGAAUACAUUUAUUGAGAGAAAGAAAGCUUCUGUCUGAGAGAGACAGAAGGGGUCUUGAGGGGGUUGCCAGGGACUCUGUCUUUUCUAGGGACUUUUAUAGAGUAAAAUCAUGAGGUUAAAUGUGUCAAAGGUAGGGAAAAAUGGGAAUUUGCAAGGUGAGCAUAAGACAGGACAGAACUGUGGCCAACCAAUAAGAUUAAUUGCUCAGGUAAAAUUGAUUAAAUUAGGAGCCAAUGGGGGAGCCAGUCAUGCAGUAAGCACACAAGCUUAGCAGCAGUGACUGUCCUGUAGGGGGUGUGAUGAUGUCUCCUGACUUCCUCAGGGUGAUGGAGAACUACUUGGACUGUGGAGCCUUAGGGUGUGGUUCUGUUUGCUUUGCCUUUUGUCUUGCAAUCUGGCCCACAGCAGGUGAUUGUCUCUUCCAAGGCUGCAAGGUAUCUGAACUUCUGCUCUUGCUCCUUUGAGGGACCAGCCCUGUGUGACUGCCUAUAACAUUUCUAACUCACUCAGCUGCUGUAACAUUUUGAUCUCAGCUUGGAUGCUGGGUAGAACACCAGGGUAGGACAGGAGUGUUCCUGAGGGCCCAGCAAAGGGAGGCCUGAGGCCAGCAAGGGUCUCUCUGGGGAGGGUCUCUCCGGCACAGUUUUGGGGUCACAUCUGGCAGUUUCUUGGGUGGCUUGGACCCAGGAUGUUUCCAGUGCCUCUCUGGGUUCCUUCUCUGAUGCUGAAAGCUGUGAGCUGGGUGGGAAUGAUGGGGCAGACCCGACCAGCAGGGGAGCCCUGGAAGGCGAGGUGUGCAAAGGGAAACUGGGGCCAUUUCCCGCCCACAGGAGCUAACUUCUGGGGCAGCCUGUGAGACUGCGCUGGCAGGAGCUGGGAGGAGUGGCUGGGGAGAGCUCUGGAGGCAGGGUGAGGCCUCCAGCAGGGGUCACUUACAGGGCCAGGGGCUCUGGGGUCUGCAGCCAGGUGCUCAGGUAGCAACUGGUGUGGACAGAGGAGCUCACCUUGGGGACCGGGCACGGGUGCCGUCCUGGCUUCACUGAAACACGGGACGCAUCCUUCCUACCUGCUCACCCUCCCAGGCCAUGUAAAUGACCAUCAGGCCAUCAUCGCAGCGAGAACACCUUUGCCACGACCUCUCCAGGAGUAAACUAGAUGAGAAAAGAAAACCGUUGGGGUCACCACAGAGGGACAGAAGAUAAACAGGCGUCUGGUCCCCAGCCUAUGACUGCUAACAGUACAAGUUUUGUUUCCUUCUGAAAAGGCAGUGAGGGAUUUAAACUGCUUUUGCUAAAAGACAAAACAAAAUAAAAAUAAAACAAGAAAAAGCACAGCAGCUGUUCACUUGGGCCUCCUGACGCCCAGGGGGAACUAGAAACGGUCAAAGCUUCUGCCAUCUCUGCCUGAGUUCCAUGGCUGGCCUCAGGCUCAGCUCAUCCUCCUGCCUCAGGCUCUGGAGAGCGGGGUUCAGAUCCCUGCUGAGCUCUGUGUGCAGGCAGGUCUAUGCCAUGUGGUUCAUCAGCCCUAAACCACCUGGGCUCUCUCAUCCCCUUCAAGUCAGAAGACACCAACUUAGGAGAGCUGGGGGUCUCUCGGCCCCCAGCCUUGCGGGUGCCACCUUCAGACCCCUGCAGCUGCCCAGCUUCCCGCAGAGCCUUUGCAAAGCCAACACUGUGUGGGAGCCUGGCUGCUCCUCCAGCCACAGGACUUCCCCGGAGCUGCAGAACCAGGACAGAGACAGGGAGCACCCCGAAUGCUGCCCUCCAGCAGCCUCACCUUCCCCUGCACCUCUUUCUCCAGAUGAGAUCAUCCCCCACUCUUCUACUUCCCAUCAACACUUCUGCCUGUAAGUUUGUGCUUUGGUUUAGAAGUCUGUGACUGCCAAAGCUGGACCUCACUGGGGCCCAGGACACUAGGGGGCUGCAGUGAGCCAUCAGGGAAGGUGGGGUGUGGCCCAUGAGCCAGGUAGGUUUGGGCAGUGCAUGCUGGGCAGCCCUGCCAGUGACCGCUGGCUUUCAAAGCAACACGGUCGGGGGCAGAGAAGACACCUUAAAAACUCUCCAUUUCUGUGUUCCUUUCCCAUUUAUUCCCUGUUACACUUUUACAUGAAAAGUUAUUUUAAAAUA